rnacentral:rRNA from 1 species
UACGUAGGGUCGCGAGCGUUGUCCGGAAUUAUUGGGCGUAAAGAGCUUGUAGGCGGUUUGUCGCGUCUGCCGUGAAAAUCCGAGGCUCAACCUCGGACUGCGGUGGGUACGGGCAGACUAGAGUGUGGUAGGGGGAGACUGGAAUUCCUGGUGUAGCGGUGAAAUGCGGCAGAUAUCAGGAGGAACACCGGUGGCGAAGGCGGGUCUCUGGGCCGAUACUGACGCUGAGGAGCGGAAAGCGUGGGGAGCAAACAGG